rnacentral:rRNA from 1 species
ACGGAAGGCAGCAGUGGGGAAUAUUGCACAAUGGGCGCAAGCCUGAUGCAGCGAUGCCGCGCGAGGGAAGAAGGUUUUCGGAUUGUAAACCUCUGUCAACAGGGACGAAAAUGACGGUACCUGCGAAGGAAGCUCCGGCUAACUACGUGCCAGCAGCCGCGGUAAUACGUAGGGAGCAAGCGUUAUCCGGAAUUACUGGGUGUAAAGGGAGUGUAGGCGGGACUGUAAGUCAGAUGUGAAAUAUACCGGCUCAACUGGUAGACUGCAUUUGAAACUGCGGUUCUUGAGUGAAGUAGAGGUAAGCGGAAUUCCUAGUGUAGCGGUGAAAGGCGUAGAUAUUAGGAGGAACAUCAGUGGCGAAGGCGGCUUACUGGGCUUUAACUGACGCUGAGGCUCGAAAGCGUGGGGAGCGAACAGGAUUAGAUACCCUGGUA